CAGGUUCCUCCGCUGGCAUAAAAAUAACUAAGAACUAGAAGAAUCUCUUUUCUUGUUCUGAAGUUGCUGAAAUGUGGGUAUCAUUUGUUCAAGAGAAUUAAAAAAAAAUUGGAAUC